UUUUCCCAAGAGCUGUCUGGGUCAUACAGGGGCUCGAAGUUCUCCACCAGGGGGUCUGCGCCUGUGAAGCGAGGCCCAGGCAGAGGUGGUGCUGUCCACGUCAGCUUCUCCCUGAGAGCAGCCCCCAGCGGAGGGUCAGGAGCAGGCAGCCCGCCAAGGAGAUGUCGUCGCGCUCUGCGGCCAGGUGCAGCGCCGUGCGCCCCGACUUCCGCUCCUGUGCGUU